ensembl:lncRNA
GUGCCCCACCUGGAUCCUCUUUACAGGCAGUGCGCCCACCCCCUGGCUGCUGUUUGUGUUGCCUGAUGACAAUUCACAGCUGCCCCUACUCCUGAAAAUAGUCCUCAGCCAAAUAGAAGUCUCCUUGCCCAGGAGGCAACACCCGCUACUGCCCAGGGCAGAUCUCAGCCAAUGGCAGCAGACUUAAUGGGACAAAAAGCUGGCCCCCUUGCCUGAAGGUGGGCUUAGUUUUACGGUGAAACUCCAGCCUCUCUGUGGAAUCAAACUGAAACUAAUCUUUAGCAGUCUUGUUGCUCAGGAACAAAACUUUAAGACAGCUGGCAUCAGAGAUGGUCUCAGGAAGCUGACUCUGAGGACGGGAUUCUGGAGUUGGCUUGCUUGCUGGCUGGAUGGCAAUGAAGACCCCAUAGCUGAAGUUGCAGGUCCUUCUAGUUGUGGGAUAUGGGACGCCGCCUCAACGUGGCCUGAUGAGCAGUGCCAUGUCCGCGGCCAGGAUCCGAACCCUAGGCCACGGCAGCGGAGCGCGCGAACUUCACUCGGCCCCAGAACCGGCCCCUCCAAAAGCUUUGUUUCUGUGAGUGGGCAAUAUUUCUCAAUACUCACCAAAUUCAAAAUUAAAACACAUUUUAAAAAUUAUUAAUUAAUUUUAAAUAAUAAUCCAUUAUAUGUUAAUAUAAAUUACAUAAUUUUAAGAAAAAUAACUAUUUUCCAAAACAAAAAAAUAAGCGACAUUGUUUUUGUAAUUUUGCAAAUCUCUUUAGCAUCUGGUUUAAUAGCUUAAUUCUCAUAUCUGCCUCUGCUUUGUCACAAGUCAUGUAGCCCCUGGAGAACUACACUGCACUUGCAAGAAAGAAUGAGAACAAAAACGCGAAUAAUGUCUUAGUACUACAAAAAUAAUUUUAACCUUGCAGAACCCCUAAAAGACUCUUGAAAACCCCCACAGAAGGUCCUUGGACCACACUUUGAGAAAGUUUUUUCUCCAAGAAAUUCCGUAGAACAUUAAUUCUUCAAAAAGUUAACAGAUGUUGAACCAAGGGGAAAAAAAAAGAAGGUAUAUCCAAGUGACUUUGGGAAAACAAGUUUCUAUACUACAGGACUUCCGAGACUGCAUGUUCUGGAGCAGAAGGAAAAAUACUACGGGUUCAGGAAUACAGAGGAGCUGCUGCGCAAGAUGGCCACUGGAUGGCGCUGCUGUCCCACUCGCAGAUGACCUAAGCGUCUGAAUCGGGAAAUGGCUUCUAGCUCUUGGAAGCUCAAAGUCCCUGGAAAGCUGGAAGACUCACACAGUACUUUCUUAUUUUAAUUUUUUUUUUUAAAUAAAGCAGUGAUUAAAAGUUGCCACAAAGGCCAGUGUAAACUCUUUUCUCCUCAGAACAAAGGAUGUUUUCACUUUACCCCGAACUGGGGGCUUUCAGCUUAUCAAAAUCAACAGAAACGUUUUGGAAGCAGCUUCCAAGUUCAUCACUCUGGAUUGAGGUUCUGAGGGGUCCAGAAUGUGGAGGUGAGAGUCUCUGACCUCAAGAGCUCCCCUAGAAUGUGAGAGAAACCAGAAUGUUCUCAGCCAAUAUCCUCAGGUCUGGUUAAUGUGAUUGUUUUACAAUAGCGCAGAGUUAAUGGGACCAGCUGGGUAUGUCUGCACUGAGGAAGGAUGGGGACAUGUUGCAAAAGCUGUCCUGAAGGGCCAGCAGCUCCAU